rnacentral:rRNA from 1 species
AGAGCGAACGCUGGCGGCAGGCUUAACACAUGCAAGUCGAGCGCCCCGCAAGGGGAGCGGCAGACGGGAGAGUAACACGUGGGAACGUACCUUUCAGUUCGGGACAACCAAGGGAAACUUUGGCUAAUACCGGAUACGCCCGUAAGGGGAAAGAUUUAUCGCUGAAAGAUCGGCCCGCGUCUGAUUAGCUAGUUGGUGAGGUAAUGGCUCACCAAGGCUACGAUCAGUAGCUGGUCUGAGAGGAUGAUCAGCCUCACUGGGACUGAGACACGGCCCAGACUCCUACGGGAGGCAGCAGUGGGGAAUAUUGGACAAUGGGCGCAAGCCUGAUCCAGCCAUGCCGCGUGAGUGAUGAAGGCCUUAGGGUUGUAAAGCUCUUUCGUCAGGGAAGAUAAUGACGGUACCUGAAGAAGAAGCCCGGCUAACUUCGUGCCAGCAGCCGC